rnacentral:lncRNA from 1 species
UACAGUGCUUCAGAUCAGCUUUACUGUGUCUCACUUUGAGACGGUGAUGUUGUGUCGCCACCAAUCCCAUCCUAAAUGUCACCGUGUGAGCUGCAAAAAGGCGUCUUUCACAGCGAACAGCUCAUCAGGAUUACUAACACAAAGAUUACGCUCUCCUUGACGCAGCUUGUGUGACUCUCCAGGAUUCUCUGGGUUCUGUUUCCUGUCCUGAC